GAGUGCUUGCACUCAAUUGGAAAGAGGAGUGGCGGACGGGUGAGUAACACGUGGGUAACCUACCCAUCAGAGGGGGAUAACACUUGGAAACAGGUGCUAAUACCGCAUAACAGUUUAUGCCGCAUGGCAUAAGAGUGAAAGGCGCUUUCGGGUGUCGCUGAUGGAUGGACCCGCGGUGCAUUAGCUAGUUGGUGAGGUAACGGCUCACCAAGGCCACGAUGCAUAGCCGACCUGAGAGGGUGAUCGGCCACACUGGGACUGAGACACGGCCCAGACUCCUACGGGAGGCAGCAGUAGGGAAUCUUCGGCAAUGGACGAAAGUCUGACCGAGCAACGCCGCGUGAGUGAAGAAGGUUUUCGAUCGUAAAACUCUGUUGUUAGAGAAGAACAAGGACGUUAGUAACUGAACGUCCCCUGACGGUAUCUAACCAGAAAGCCACGGCUAACUACGUGCCAGCAGCCGCGGUAAUACGUAGGUGGCAAGCGUUGUCCGGAUUUAUUGGGCGUAAAGCGAGCGCAGGCGGUUUCUUAAGUCUGAUGUGAAAGCCCCCGGCUCAACCGGGGAGGGUCAUUGGAAACUGGGAGACUUGAGU
rnacentral:rRNA from 1 species